CCUACGGGUGGCAGCAGUGAGGAAUAUUGGUCAAUGGACGAGAGUCUGAACCAGCCAAGUAGCGUGAAGGAUGACUGCCCUAUGGGUUGUAAACUUCUUUUAUAUGGGAAUAAAACGUUCCACGUGUGGGAUUUUGUAUGUACCAUAUGAAUAAGGAUCGGCUAACUCCGUGCCAGCAGCCGCGGUAAUACGGAGGAUCCGAGCGUUAUCCGGAUUUAUUGGGUUUAAAGGGAGCGUAGGUGGAUUGUUAAGUCAGUUGUGAAAGUUUGCGGCUCAACCGUAAAAUUGCAGUUGAAACUGGCAGUCUUGAGUACAGUAGAGGUGGGCGGAAUUCGUGGUGUAGCGGUGAAAUGCUUAGAUAUCACGAAGAACUCCGAUUGCGAAGGCAGCUCACUGGACAGCAACUGACGCUGAGGCGCGAAAGCGUGGGGAGCAAACAGGAUUAGAUACCCUUGUAGUC
rnacentral:rRNA from 1 species